rnacentral:rRNA from 1 species
CCUACGGGCGGCAGUGGGGAAUAUUGGACAAUGGGCGAAAGCCUGAUCCAGCCAUGCCGCGUGUGUGAAGAAGGCCUUCGGGUUGUAAAGCACUUUCAGUGGGGAAGAAAGCCUUGGGGCUAAUACCCUCGAGGAAGGACAUCACCCACAGAAGAAGCACCGGCUAACUCCGUGCCAGCAGCCGCGGUAAUACGGAGGGUGCGAGCGUUAAUCGGAAUUACUGGGCGUAAAGCGCGCGUAGGCGGUCUGAUAAGCCGGUUGUGAAAGCCCCGGGCUCAACCUGGGAACGGCAUCCGGAACUGUCAGGCUAGAGUGCAGGAGAGGAAGGUAGAAUUCCCGGUGUAGCGGUGAAAUGCGUAGAGAUCGGGAGGAAUACCAGUGGCGAAGGCGGUCUUCUGGACUGACACUGACGCUGAGGUGCGAAAGCGUGGGUAGCAAACAGGAUUAGAUACCCGAGUAGUC